GGACUACUGGGGUAUCUAAUCCCGUUCGCUCCCCUAGCUUUCGCGCCUCAGCGUCAGAAGAGGUCCAGCACGCCGCUUUCGCCACCGGCGUUCCUUCCGAUAUCUACGCAUUUCACCGCUCCACCGGAAGUUCCGCAUGCCCCUGCCUCCCUCGAGACGGCCAGUAUCGGAGGCACGUUUCCAGUUAAGCUGAAAGAUUUCACCCCCGACUUGACCGUCCGCCUACGCGCCCUUUAAGCCCAGUGAAUCCGAACAACGUUCGCACGGUUCGUCUUACCGCGGCGGCUGGCAC
rnacentral:rRNA from 2 species